rnacentral:tRNA from 1 species
UGCCGGGUGGUGUAGUGGUAACAUCCAUGCCACCCGUUCAGGGUGGUGUGUGUCGCAGGUUCGAAUCCUGCCCCGGCAA